rnacentral:rRNA from 1 species
CCGACGGUGAAGGGGUGAAAGCUGGGGGAGCAAACCGGAUUAGAUACCCGGGUAGUCCCAGCUGUAAACGAUGCAAACUCGAUGAUGCGUUGGCUUGUUGCUAGCGCAGUGUCGCAGGGAAGCCGUUAAGUUUGCCGCCUGGGAAGUACGUACGCAAGUAUGAAACUUAAAGGAAUUGGCGGGGGAGCACCACAAGGGGUGAAGCCUGCGGUUCAAUUGGAGUCAACGCCUGAAACCUUACCCGGAGAGACAGCAGAAUGAAGGUCAAGCUGAAGACUUUACCAGACAAGCUGAGAGGUGGUGCAUGGCCGUCGCCAGCUCGUGCCGUGAGAUGUCCUGUUAAGUCAGGUAACGAGCGAGAUCCCUGCCUCUAGUUGCCACUAUUACACCAAGGUGUAGUAGGGCGAAUUAGAGGGACCGCCGCAGUUAAUGCGGAGGAAGGAAGGGGCCACGGCAGGUCAGUAUGCCCCGAAACUCUGGGGCCACACGCGGGCUGCAAUGGUAGCGACAAUGAGUUCCAAAAUCGAAAGAUGGAGGUAAUCCCUAAACGCUACCACAGUUAUGAUUGAGGGCUGCAACUCGCCCUCAUGAAUAUGGAAUCCCUAGUAACCGCGUGUCAUUAUCGCGCAGUGAAUACGUCCCUGCUCCUUGCACACACCGCCCGU